CCGGUAACCUAACCUAACCUACUGAAUAAAUUACUUGGUAACUAUCUUUUCAGUGAAUUAAAUUUGAAAACAUGGAUGAUAAUAUUUCUCUACCAUUGAUAUUAAAGUAUUGUUUUAAAGAUAUAAAAAAGGAUGCUGGAAGUGAGAAUAAUAAUAUAUCGGCUGUUUGCAAGAAAUGCUCUAAAACAUUAAAAGGAAGUCUAAUUUCAACUACAAAUUUUUUAAAUCAUAUAAAAAGAAAAGGUCAUGGUGAUCUAUUGACAGAGUAUGAAAAUUUAAAAUCCCAAACCAAAACCUCCAAAAAGAAAAAAUGUGGCACACACACUGAUGAAAAUAGUGCAAGUACUUCGAAAAAACUGAUACAAAGCACUCU